rnacentral:tmRNA from 1 species
GGGGCUGAUCGGUUUCGACUUGGGACGUUGGUUCCAGGGGAAGCGGGUCGAGGAGCCAGCGACAUCUCGUAAACGACCGCUGGAAACCCAUAACUGCCAACGCUAAGCGCAGUUCCUUCGCUCUCGCCGCCUGAGCGGUGAUCGAAGCGUCCGACCGGGCAUACGUCUCCGUCCCGGACCCGGGCGUCAUCUAGGAGACUCGCUGCUCAUCUGCCGUCGGGGUGGAUGGGUGGGACUCAAACCCGACUGAGCCUGUCGAUGACAUGUCCGUGUGAGCAUCGAGGCUGAGAAAAGCGCCAUCACAGGACUGCACCCGGAGAAGACCUGGUUCGGCGCUCGAGGACCGGGGUUCGAUUCCCCGCAGCUCCACCA